GGCCAGGAGGCCCUGAAGCGGCGGCUGGAGCUGAGGGCAGGAGUCCCUGAAGCGGCGGCUGGAGAUCAGAUGUGGAGGCCAGGAGAAGGACAAUCCAACGGCUGCUGAAGGAAGGACUGAGGCGGUCGACUGGAGGUCCUUCAGUCGGAGGUCCCUGCGGUGGUCGGCUGGAGGUACUCGUGGCAGAGACCCAGUAUGGUGACUGAGCAGUCGAUCUACACAAUCGUCCUACUCCCCUCCACCCUGAAGAUCCAUGGCUACACCUGCACACCCUACAGCUUCAUGCAUCUACACCCAACAUCACCAAUCUAAGCUACACACUCCCACCCAUCCUGACAACACUCACUACUGUUUUAACUUUUAAAACAAACAUUAUGUCACUCCACAUUUUUGGGGCAGUAUGUUGAGUUUAAUCUUGAUUUGUCUA